rnacentral:tRNA from 1 species
UAAUUAGAAGCAAUAGUUGUAAUUAGUUUCGACCUAAUAUUUAGUAAUAUAAAAUUACUCUAAUUAA